GAUGAAGAACGCAGCGAAAUGCGAUAAGUAAUGCGAAUUGCAGAAUUCCAGUGAGUCAUCGAAUCUUUGAACGCACAUUGCGCCCUUUGGUAUUCCGAAGGGCAUGCCUGUUCGAGCGUCAUUAUCACCCCUCAAGCCCUCGGCUUGGUGUUGGACGGUUUGGUGGAGGCCCCCUCGGGGGCUCCUGCCCCUCCCAAUGACAAUGACGGCGGCCUCGUUGGACCCCCGGUACACUGAGUUCUUCACGGGACACGUAUCGGACACAUGGGUUUACGGGACACGGUCUGCCUCCCCUCAGGGAGAAUCUUUCUAAGGUUGACCUCGGAUCAGGUAGGGAUACCCGCUGAACUUAAGCAUAUCAAUAAGCGGAGGA
rnacentral:misc_RNA from 1 species